CCUAAGGUAGUUAGUGAGGGUGGCCUUGAGACUCUGUUUACAAGGUUUUAUACGGAAGAGAUGAGGUUCCCUACUUAAAUUAAGGUCAUAUGAAAAAGGAAUAGAUUUGAAGCCCAGGAACGUGGUAUAUUGGAAAAUCUCUUGGCCAGGGAGCAGAGGACAGGAGAGAAGAGGCCGGGACCUCUCAUUUUCCAUUACAAAAGUGACCCACAGCCAUUGUAAACAUUGGAAAAUAUGGAACAGUAGGAUCAAAACUAAUCAGCCGCAAUUCUACCAUGUGAAGACAUGCAACGUUAGAAUUUCUUUCCAUUUAGGAUCAUUUUCUCUUUGCAGAAAGUGUCUUUUAUGUAGUUGUAAUCAUGCUGUAUUUAUACAAUUUUGUAUCCUGCUUUUUUUCCCUUACACAUAAGCUUUUUCUGAGCAAUGACUCUCAGGCAAUUUUCCCCUUACCCAGAAUGGCAGAUGUGUUGUAGUGUCCCCUGAAGAGUCAGGAAAUUCAUCUCCAAGGAAGAAAUGAAGGGCUGGGGUACUGGGCACAAAUGAGUACCCACACUGCUGGCUCUGCCUCACCCCUCAGGAACCUCCUGGCCCUACUUGGCACCCCCUCCCUGUCCCUACCUGGCACCUCUCCCUGUCCUGGCUGGCUGACCAUGCACCCUAGAGCACAUGAUCACUGGGUCCAAGCCCUAAUGACAUGUCAGGGGCCUG
rnacentral:lncRNA from 1 species